rnacentral:rRNA from 1 species
AGUGAACGCUGGCGGUAGGCCUAACACAUGCAAGUCGAACGGCACCACAUUAAUGGCUUUCUCUUACGGGUUGCGGGUGGCGGACGGCGGAGGAAUACGUCGGAAGCGACUUUUUCGUGGUGGAUAACGGGGGAAAACUUAGGCUAAUACCGCAUACGAGCUACGGGUCAAAGCAGGAGAUCUUCUGGUCUUACGAGCUUGGAUGAUCCGAGGUCGGGUUAGAUAGUUUGCGGGGGCAAGGCCCACCAAGGCGACGAACCGUAGCUGGUCUUAGAGGAUGAUCCGCUACACUGGAAGUGAGACACGGUCCAGACUUUUACGGGAGGCAGCAGUCGGGAAUAUUGGACGAUGGGGGAAAGCCUGAUCUAGCCAUACCGCGUGGGUGAAGAAGGACUUCGGGUUGUAGAGCCAUUAUGUUGGGAAAGAAAAGCAGCAGGUUAAUCACGCGAGGUACUGACGGUACCCAACGAAUAAGCACCGGCUAACUUCGUG